AGGACUUUUACUGUUUUUGCCUAUUUUGUUCUGGAAUAAAUACAUUAAUACUUGCUCUAGGCCAUCUGCUGAUGGGAGCAAUGGCUCCCGUGGCUGAGGUGUGGGGACCUGGAGGGCUGUCACAGCACUGUGGGGUGACAGGGGUGCAGAGGCCAGGGCACUGCUGAGCCCCGCAGGAGGAGACCGGGAAUGACCUGCCCGCACAGUCCUUGGGUAAGUUCACAUGUUGCGAGCCUAGAGCCUCAGUUCUUAACCGGUAAUGUAUGGAAGAGCUUAGGACACUUGAAAUACUUGGGGGAAAUGAUUGCUAGCCCAGGAGCCCAGGAGCCCAGGAGCCCAGGAGCCCUGGGUGAGGCGCACAGUGAUGACUUCGAUAACACAGGCCAUCUGGUCCAGCGGUGCCACACCAACCUUGAUACACAAAGCCAAUGUCCCAUUAAGGCCACUGCCCAGCGUGCGUGCCUAGGACCCCUUUCAUGCAAAUCCUAUGCUUUUAAUUCUGAUUUGAGAUUAGUUCCAAAAAAAAGCCCUAGCACACAUUUCUCUUGUUAAAAACAGAAAACCGUGUAUUUGAUUUUCUUUCCCCCUUUGCUACAAGAAAACUAAGCUGCCUGAGGUCACUGUGCUUUCUGAGAAUGUCCCUGAAGUGCUUGAGUGACAUCUUCGAGCCAGGAACUCCCUAGACUCAGACCCCAGGGCCUUCACUCAGCAGCCGCUGGAGGCCGUGGAGCCCAGUCGUUCUCUGAGCUCCAUUUCCCCUCAGAGUCACAUGUCCUGAUUCAAAACGCUCAAAGUCACCUGCACAGAUCACUCACCUGGGGCUCCUCCAAGUACAGCUCGCUCAACCCUGAGGACAACAAUCUCGAACUUCCUGCCUGCUGCUUUCCUCACUUCCGCCCCUUCGAUGCAGGACCCGGAUGCUCAGCACCCCUGCGUUGCAGUGAACAUCCUUGUUGCUCUUUGCAGAGUCAUUUGAACCUCUUUCCCUCCCAUUUGCCUCAGCUCCCACCACACCGGCCUCGGGUCUGCCCUUGUCCCUGAUCCCAGCUGCUCUGUCUGCCUCCGGAAGGGCUGCAGCCAGGGGUCCCAUGUUACCUGCCCCCCUGGAGGGACAGCCCGCCUGACCAGGCCCUGUGAGGAGAACACCGCCCUGCAGAGGGAAGGACGGGGAAGGGGCCCCUGUCCCCUGCCUCCUAAGUGUGCCUUCAGCUGGGAACCGUCUGCAGAAGAACCCGCUCCUAGCCUGGUGGCCUCCCCAUCCAGCCGCCUCCCCAAAGUCGGACCAAGGGCACAUGUCCCCCGGGGGACGUUUCUGCCAAAUAUCACUUGGCCCUGGACAGAGUGGCCUCUUCCCCUCGGGGUCCUGCUGUGCUUUCCUCCCCUGGUGGCGGGCGUCACCAACCUCACUGUCUGUGGGGGGCUCCUCAGCUCCGCUGCACUGGGCUCCCCAGGAGCAGGAGCUGGGCCUCCACAGUGUCAGAGUGGCCAGUGUUCGUCAAACAAAUGGAGAGAUUUUCACUCUCAGUAAUCAAAUAGCACUUUUGGCAUCUCACCUUACACAGUCCCGCCUUGAGCCGAAGAAAAAUGCCAAGAUUUCUGAGCAAGAAGGAUGAUAAUAACGUUUCAGAAUUUACUUUGGUUCAAAUGCGGAGCUAAUGUUUCUCAAUUUUGCCUCAUGUAUGGUCUCCAAAUAUUCAAUAACUUAGGAAAGCAAAAGAAAUACUUGGUCAUUUUAAUAGAGAAACAAGGAAGGUCAGAGUUUGGACUCCUUGCUGUGUAAAUAAUGGAAUGCUCCAAUCUGGGAAUAAACA